UCCCCCACCCCCCCUCCUUUGUUUCUGACUCGCCGAGGGUGAAGAAGACAGACCUAAACCCAGCCGGAGAGAGCGGCUCCCCGGGCGAGGGCGGGGGGUGGGGAGGGCGCGGGACCCACGCUCGCACCUGCGGCGGGAGCCGGGGGUGGAGCCCGAGACAGCGACCCGCCCGACCUGUCCGGACCGCCCGCGGAGGUGGCAGGAACGGAUAAUGCAGAGAGAUCUAGCAAGACCGAGAGAACCUAGUCCAGAUGGUCUCCCUCCCAAAGGCGAAACAAAAGCAAGAGCGGGAGGUGGGAGGGCGCUCGCCUGAGGGAGAACCGGCAUCUGGAAUUCACACUCCCUGGGUGGUGGAGAUAGUGGCCUGGGUAGGUCAGGUAUUGGGGAAAAGUUUUCUGUGCCCCGAGGAGGGGGGUAUGGAUGGGUAGGGGCGCGCGGGGGGAGUGGAGUUCGUAUUAAUCUACAUUGCUACCAGUUUGCAAAGCCUCAGGCCUUCUUUGAGCCUCCUAAGUACGAAGUGGACAUACGUGUGAUCUCCAUUGCUCAUGGAGAAGAGUGAGACUCGGGAUGGCCCAGGGAUAUGCAGACACACACGCACUGUCUCCUCAGUGAGCUUGAUACCAUGAUACACACAAGCCACAAAGACGACUCAAGCCAAUUUCUUUCUUUUGGUGGAGCGAAGAUACCAGGAGGACUUGUGAUGGGGUGACCUCCCUAAUGGCAUCAUUGUGGAUCUGGCAGAUUCUGGACUUGGAGGACUUAAAUUCCAAACUCCUUUGCAGAAGAAAAAAAAAAGAUGAUGAAAUAGAGGGAAAGGAGUAGAAGUGAAAUUUAUUUAUUUCGCUACUGAAAUCCAGGCACUUCUGUGUGGCCCGGUUUUUGGCCAGUUGGACUGGAGACACUUCAAGGGCAGAAAACAAGUAUCAGGGAAUGAGGGAGCAUUGCUUUCUUGAGAGAGAACACAAGAAGUCUCUGACUGGUGACUUACAGUAAGAACGAAACAAAUGGGCUGAGAAGCCCUACGGGAAUUUACCAGGUGAUUUCUGCUUCACUUCAGACUCUGCAACCAGUGCAAAGAAAAGAAGUAAAUUCACUGAAAUUAUACUUCAGGAUCCUCCUCUGUGUAUCAACAAGACCCCAUAUUCUUGACGGCAAAGAGAAAAGACUAUUUAUAUUUGCCAAGUCUAAUUUUGUUUGUGACUUUUAAAAAACUAUCUAUUUGAGGACUUUGAUGAGUCACUGCAGAAUGCUUUAAAAAUUAUGGGCGAGGAACAUAUUGGUAUCUAUACCCCAAAUUUAGACUAUGUUUAAAAACACAACAACAGAAGAA